rnacentral:rRNA from 1 species
AUUGAACGCUGGCGGCAGGCUUAACACAUGCAAGUCGAGCGGGGUGAUGGUGCUUGCACUAUCACUUAGCGGCGGACGGGUGAGUAAUGCUUAGGAAUCUGCCUAUUAGUGGGGGACAACAUCUCGAAAGGGAUGCUAAUACCGCAUACGUCAUACGGGAGAAAGCAGGGGAUCACUUGUGACCUUGCGCUAAUAGAUGAGCCUAAGUCGGAUUAGCGAGUUGGUGGGGUAAAGGCCUACCAAGGCGACGAUCUGUAGCGGGUCUGAGAGGAUGAUCCGCCACACUGGGACUGAGACACGGCCCAGACUCCUACGGGAGGCAGCAGUGGGGAAUAUUGGACAAUGGGGGGAACCCUGAUCCAGCCAUGCCGCGUGUGUGAAGAAGGCCUUAUGGUUGUAAAGCACUUUAAGCGAGGAGGAGGCUCUUUUGGUUAAUACCCAAGAUGAGUGGACGUUACUCGCAGAAUAAGCACCGGCUAACUCUGUGCCAGCAGCCGCCGCGG